GGAGUUAGCCGGUGCUUCUUCUGUGAGUGAUGUCCUUCCUGCCGGCUAUUAACCCGCAGGCCUUCUUCCUCACUGAAAGUGCUUUACAACCCGAAGGCCUUCUUCACACACGCGGCAUGGCUGGAUCAGGGUUGCCCCCAUUGUCCAAUAUUCCCCACUGCUGCCUCCCGUAGGAGUCUGGGCCGUGUCUCAGUCCCAGUGUGGCUGAUCAUCCUCUCAGACCAGCUACGGAUCGUCGCCUUGGUGAGCCGUUACCUCACCAACCAGCUAAUCCGACAUAGGCUCAUCCGAUAGCGCGAGGCCCGAAGGUCCCCCGCUUUCCCCCGUAGGGCGUAUGCGGUAUUAGCCUGGGUUUCCCCAGGUUAUCCCCCACUACCGGGCAGAUUCCUAUGCAUUACUCACCCGUCCGCCGCUCGCCACCAGGGAGCAAGCUCCCCGUGCUGCCGCUCGACUUGCAUGUGUUAGCUCGCCGCCACGCGUUCAUCUGAGCCAGAGACUAACUAACUACGUACGUACGUAGACGGGCGGUCGGUCGGACGGACGGCGACUAGUAG
rnacentral:rRNA from 1 species